GACAGAGGGUGCAAACGUUGUUCGGAAUUACUGGGCGUAAAGCGAGUGUAGGCGGUUCGAUAAGUCGGAUGUGAAAGCCCCGGGCUCAACCCGGGAAGUGCACUCGAUACUGUCGAGCUAGAGUAUCGGAGAGGUUGGUGGAAUUCUCGGUGUAGAGGUGAAAAUUCGUAGAUAUCGAGAGGAACACCGGUGGCGAAGGCGGCCAACUGGACGAAUACUGACGCUGAGACUCGAAAGCGUGGGGGAGCAAACAGG
rnacentral:rRNA from 1 species